UGAUUAAGCAAAACCUAAGUUAAUUUCUUUUUAUUUCCUUCUCCUCUUUUCUCCUCCCGACUCCUCGUGCGUGCCGACCUCUCCUCACCGUGCCCUAGUCGACUCUUCUCCCCGACAUCGACACCAUCUCCUUCCUCUCCUCCCCAACUCGACGCCGAACCCCUCUCCUUCCCCGAUUUCCUCCUCACUGCCCGAUCUCUUCCCCUCCUCUGCGUCACUGGUGCGGAUCCGACCAAUAGCCUCUCCCUUGCAUCAUCUCCUCAGCCGACGACACCCUUGGAACCUUGAAGCCGUAGCGCCGCCUCCUCUUCUCAUUGUGAACGCCAAGCACUCACCGAAAACCGAAGCCACCACCGUCCCCUUCCUCUCCCUUGUGCCACACCCCUCUCUACCCGAUCCUCCACUCAUCGAAGCUCAAUUCGCCGCUGGCUGGGAGUCGUAGCCCUUCUUCCUCCCACAUCUCCUUCAUCGUCUGAGCCCCCACUUCUCCUCUCGCCAGAAGACGAGCACCCCAGGUCCAUUAUUCUAUGCCCUAGCUGUCAGUCCAACCCUCUCUUCCUUUCCAACUUUGAUCGUUGCUAGCCUUGGAUUCCGUUGGGGAGGAAACUGCCAGCAACAAGGUCUAACAGUGGCUUUUGGGAGGCGUCGGCCACAAAUCCCUGGCACCAACCGAUUGAUGUUGCCUACUGUCGGAGAGGAAGUGAAUUGAGCAACUUCAUUGUAACUUCGGCCACCAAAUUUUGGCGACAAGUUUCUACAGCUGUGAAGCAAAGGCUAGGAUAUCAACUCGGGACUCUGAUUCGAGACGAGCAUCUCAACGUCAGAUUAGUUGGAUACGAUCUUCUUUUUGAGGUUGAAGCUGUCAAGAGGUUCCAGUUGCCAGUCCCCUUGUCACAAGAGUUUACGUAUUGGUCUUUUGGUUUCUAUUUGGUAUGUUUUGCUACGCGCCUGCUGAACGACAGAAGAGCCGUGUUGGCUGAUGAUUGUGAGCCGUGAGGGCUAUGUAGAUAAGUUUCAAAUUAUCACCCAUACAUGGGAGAUGUUGCCGAAAUUUCUUUUGGCAGAGACUUCCCUAGGGCGUGACAAUUAUGAUGAAGAGGAAGAUUUUA